rnacentral:misc_RNA from 1 species
AUGAUGGCACCACCUACCGAAAGGUGCUCUUUUUCUUCUUUUAAUUCGAUCUAUACUUAUUGCUUUAGAUUUACCUUAUUUUUUCUCUUUUCCGCUAUUUGAUUUGGGAAGGAAACGGAUUUAUUUAGUUGGACCGAGCUUUUAUCUUUGCUUCACAUGCUUUUAGAUUGGCCAUUUCCCCUGGAUUUUUAGUUUUUUUCUGAAUUUUUUUCUGGGUAUUUCUUUUUAGUUGUGUCAUAUUAUCUCUCUAUUUCUUGUCUGGUUUCCAGUUUCCAUUUUUAUGGUUGGGUUGAACCGGAUCACCUUGUAGUAUAGUUGUCUUAUAACUGCUGUUUUAUUAACAUCCUCCAUACUUAUUCCUCUCUCUUGAAGAGAGAGCAUUGGAACUUUAUGCUAUUGAAGAAGGUCUAUUCGCGGGCUUUCUAAUUUUAGAACUUGAAAAUUUCAAUGAAUAAUUGAUUAGCUUUUGAUCGAUUAAUGAAAUCUCUAAUUAGUGGAAAAUCUUUCUCUUUUCUAAGAAUUUAAAACCCAGGGUAUUAAUGGAGACUUUAAUUGCUCUUAGGCGUUUUUAUCUCUUGUGCUGUGCAAUCUGUAACUUCUUUCACCACUUUUUUUUUAUAUUCCUUUCAUGUUAAUGAUAUAAUACCACCAUGUUUGGUUUGUUGAUCCAGGGAUGCAAGCCACCCCCAAUUG